rnacentral:rRNA from 1 species
UACGUAGGGUGCAAGCGUUAAUCGGAAUUACUGGGCGUAAAGCGUGCGCAGGCGGCUUUGCAAGACAGAUGUGAAAUCCCCGGGCUCAACCUGGGAACUGCAUUUGUGACUGCAUGGCUAGAGUGCGGCAGAGGGGGGAUGGAAUUCCGCGUGUAGCAGUGAAAUGCGUAGAUAUGCGGAGGAACACCGAUGGCGAAGGCAAUCCCCUGGGCCUGCACUGACGCUCAUGCACGAAAAGCGUGGGGGAGCAAACAGG